UACAGGUGAAAAUCGAGAGAGAAAUUCAACAUGAAAAAAGAGGUACAGCUGUAGAGUACAUUUUGAACAGCCAUCUCCAGGAUAUACUCUGAAGACAGUGAUGUGCAAGUUCAAGGUUUGCCUGUUGUGAGUAUUGUAUAUGUAACUUUCAGCUGUAACAAAACAAAUUAUCUGAUGAAAGCUUCAACCACGAGAAUCUAGGAAAGGAUGUCAAGUCAAAAGAGAAGGUAUGUUGAUUACUGGUGAUGAUAUGUUAUUGAUGUAAA